rnacentral:rRNA from 1 species
AUUGAACGCUGGCGGCAUGCCUUACACAUGCAAGUCGAACGGUAACGGGUCCUUCGGGAUGCCGACGAGUGGCGAACGGGUGAGUAAUAUAUCGGAACGUGCCCAGUAGUGGGGGAUAACUGCUCGAAAGAGCAGCUAAUACCGCAUACGAACUGAGGGCGAAAGGGGGGGAUCGCAAGACCUACCGCUAUUGGAGCGGCCGAUAUCAGAUUAGCUAGUUGGUGGGGUAAAGGCCUACCAAGGCAACGAUCUGUAGUUGGUCUGAGAGGACGACCAGCCACACUGGGACUGAGACACGGCCCAGACUCCUACGGGAGGCAGCAGUGGGGAAUUUUGGACAAUGGGCGCAAGCCUGAUCCAGCAAUGCCGCGUGCAGGAAGAAGGCCUUCGGGUUGUAAACUGCUUUUGUCAGGGAAGAAAUCUUCUGGGCUAAUACCCCGGGAGGAUGACGGUACCUGAAGAAUAAGCACCGGCUAACUACGUGCCAGCAGCCGCCGUAA